rnacentral:tRNA from 1 species
GCCGCCAUAGCUCAGCUGGUAGAGCGGUUCACUCGUAAUGAAUAGGUCCGCGGUUCAAUUCCGCGUGGCGGCUCCA